UGGGCAAUCUGCCCUUCACUCUGGGACAAGCCCUGGAAACGGGGUCUAAUACCGGAUAACACUCUGUCCUGCAUGGGACGGGGUUAAAAGCUCCGGCGGUGAAGGAUGAGCCCGCGGCCUAUCAGCUUGUUGGUGGGGUAAUGGCCUACCAAGGCGACGACGGGUAGCCGGCCUGAGAGGGCGACCGGCCACACUGGGACUGAGACACGGCCCAGACUCCUACGGGAGGCAG
rnacentral:rRNA from 1 species